rnacentral:rRNA from 1 species
GACGAACCGUGCAAACGUUGUUCGGAUUCACUGGGCUUAAAGGGCGCGUAGGCGGCUGAGCAAGUCUGUGGUGAAAUCUUUCGGCUCAACCGGAAAAUUGCCGUGGAUACUGCUCGGCUCGAGGGAGGUAGGGGUCGCGGGAACUGCCAGUGGAGCGGUGAAAUGCGUUGAUAUUGGCAGGAACGCCGGUGGCGAAAGCGCGCGACUGGACCUUUUCUGACGCUGAGUGCGCGAAAGCUAGGGGAGCAAACGGG